UUGCCAUUUAAGAGCAUGCUAUUGGCUAGAUACUGUAGAUUCUUGAGGAAUGGUUUAGUCAUCAGCGGAAGUGAAACUUUGCACAGCAACUUUGAAACUUCAAAAGCAUUUGAAAGUUUGAAAUAUGAAACUAUGACAUUUGUUCACCCACACACUAAAUUAGCAUGUGCUUAUUUGUGCAAAGCAUUAUUACAACUAUAUCCACUAGAGAGCACCCCUGAGUAUUGGUAAUACAUUUAACCAAUAGAGGGCAGUAUUGUCCCAUUUACAUGUUGUGUGCCUAUAAAAUAUAUUCUUGUCCCAUUAAAUAAAGUGCACAAGAUGUUCAAUACUGCAGGUUAUUUAGUACCUCAAUACAGAUAGUAUUGAGCAGGAGCUCCCUCUGACCUUAAUGUAUGCAUGACCAUAUGUAUAUUGGUCUUUAGGCAAUCAUAUGAUGAUUAUGUACACAUUAUGUUGAAAAUAACUGCUUUUAAGUUAUGUUAGGUGCUGUCAACAUCAGCAUGCUCAAAUCCUUUGGAGACUCAUCUCUUCUGAGAUCACGUUCGGCUCUUGCUUGGAGACACUCAUCAGAUAUCACCGAUAGUUCAGCUUAACUGUUUAUGGAGCCAGAGUUUGUGUCAGUGCACAUAUAGAAUGGACCACCAGUGGAUCAUGAGGAAAUAUUUGUUCAGAGACAACAUAUUAACCAUUGAAGGACGGAAAUUGGACUAUUUCAUGGGAAAUAUCAGCACGCU